AAUCUUUGAACGCACAUUGCGCCCCUUGGUAUUCCAUGGGGCAUGCCUGUUCGAGCGUCAUUUGUACCCUCAAGCUUUGCUUGGUGUUGGGCGUCUUGUCGGAAUAUCCGACUCGCCUUAAAUACAUUGGCAGCCGGCACUUUGGCCUAGGAGCGCAGCACAUUUUGCGAUCGUAAGCCGUUGUGACAGCAUCCAUAAGAUUUAUUUUACCACGUUUGACCUCGGAUCAGGUAGGGAUACCCGCUGAACUUAAGCAUAUCAAUAAGCGGAGGAAAAGAAACCAACAGGGAUUGCCCUAGUAACGGCGAGUGAAGCGGCAACAGCUCAAAUUUGAAAUCUGGCUCUUUCAGAGUCCGAGUUGUAAUUUGCAGAGGGCGCUUUGGCGUUGGCAGCGGUCCAAGUUCUUUGGAACAGGACGUCACAGAGGGUGAGAAUCCCGUACGUGGUCGCUAGCCAUCACCGUGUAAAGCCCCUUCGACGAGUCGAGUUGUUUGGGAAUGCAGCUCUAAAUGGGAGGUAAAUUUCUUCUAAAGCUAAAUACUGGCCAGAGACCGAUAGCGCACAAGUAGAGUGAUCGAAAGAUGAAAAGCACUUUGGAAAGAGAGUCAAAUAGCACGUGAAAUUGUUGAAAGGGAAGCGCUUGCAGCCAGACUUGCCUGUAGUUGCUUACCUAGACUUUUGUCUGGGGCACUCUUCUGCAGGCAGGCCAGCAUCAGUUUGGGCGGUUGGAUAAAGGUCUCUGUCACGUACCUCCCUUCGGGGAGGCCUUAUAGGGGAGACGUAAUGCAACCAGCCUGGACUGAGGUCCGCGCAUCUGCUAGGAUGCUGGCGUAAUGGCUGUAAGCGGCCCGUCUUGAAACACGGACCAAGGAGUCUAACAUCUAUGCGAGUGUUUGGGUGUCAAGCCCAUACGCGUAAUGAAAGUGAACGGAGGUGGGAACCUUAGGGUGCACCAUCGACCGAUCCUGAUGUCUUCGGAUGGAUUUGAGUAAGAGCAUGGCUGUUGGGACCCGAAAGAUGGUGAACUAUGCUUGAAUAGGGUGAAGCCAGAGGAAACUCUGGUGGAGGCUCGCAGCGGUUCUGACGUGCAAAUCGAUCGUCAAAUUUGGGCAUAGGGGCGAAAGACUAAUCGAACUAUCUAGUAGCUGGUUCCUGCCGAAGUUUCCCUCAGGAUAGCAGUAACGUUUUCAGUUUUAUGAGGUAAAGCGAAUGAUUAGAGGCCUGGGGGUUGAAACAACCUUCACCUAUUCUCAAACUUUAAAUAUGUAAGAAGUCCUUGUUACUUGAUUGAACGUGGACACUUGAAUGUAUCGUUACUAGUGGGCCAUUUUUGGUAAGCAGAACUGGCGAUGCGGGAUGAACCGAACGCGGGGUUAAGGUGCCAGAAUACACGCUCAUCAGACACCACAAAAGGUGUUAGUUCAUCUAGACAGCAGGACGGUGGCCAUGGAAGUCGGAAUCCGCUAAGGAGUGUGUAACAACUCACCUGCCGAAUGAACUAGCCCUGAAAAUGGAUGGCGCUCAAGCGUGUUACCCAUACCCCGCCGCCGGGGCAGAAUUUAUGCCCCGGCGAGUAGGCAGGCGUGGAGGCUNGGACGAAGC
rnacentral:rRNA from 1 species